rnacentral:tmRNA from 1 species
GGGGGUGUAAUGGUUUCGACGGGGGAAGAAUAAACACAAUAAGCGAGCCGGGAUCCCACAGGCCCGUUAAACAGUGGAACUUAAAUUAAACGCUAAAAACGAUUUAGCUUACGCAGCUUAAUUGCUGCUCACCUCUCUGCUUCUGUGCUCUGUGUGAGGCAGAUGAGGUCAUUUAACAGAGCUGGCUGACCCCCAAUUCUCGGAGGGGUGACGCGAGAUUUAUCGAGAUAGUGAGCCGGUAGCCUGUCGGUAGGCGAUUGGUGAGCGAAAUUUAAAAUACUCGACUACGCUCGUAGAAGGUUGUGUGGGUUCUCUUUCGGACGCGGGUUCGACACCCGCCACCUCCACCA